UACAGAGGGUGCGAGCGUUGUCCGGAAUCACUGGGCGUAAAGGGCGCGUAGGUGGCGGGAUAAGCGUGUGGUGAAAGCCCGGGGCUCAACCCCGGGUCUGCCAUGCGAACUGUCUUGCUUGAGCAUAGUAGAGGCAGGUGGAAUUCCGGGUGUAGCGGUGGAAUGCGUAGAGAUCCGGAAGAACACCGGUGGCGAAGGCGGCCUGCUGGGCUAUUGCUGACACUGAGGCGCGACAGCGUGGGGAGCAAACAGG
rnacentral:rRNA from 1 species